UCGCCCCUAGUUGGGCGUUUUAAACUGCUGAGUCCUUCAGCCCCAUUACUAACCAAUCCCUAUUUUAAGCGUCGUGCUCUUGAUUGAUUGAAGCAGGCGCAGACGUGAAGAUGCAGACUACAGACUCGUCUGCUGCAGGCGCGCUGUUCAUUGGCUUGGUGGGGCUUCAGGAUUCUGCACACCUCUGGGUCAAGGGCUUGUGCAGCCACCUUGGACCUAUGUAAAUUCAUCUGGGGAUACUGUCAACUGCCUCACCAGCUCUAAGGGUCAUCAUAGUUCUGCCAACCUGACUGCAUUUACCCAUGCUGCUUCUUCUCUUUGAGCUCUUCAGCAAAAAGCUCCUUUUUUCAUCAUAAUCUUCACUUCAUGAAGGUGAUAUUUCUAACAUCAUAGCUUUUUCCCUAUUGCUCCUUUUAAAUAUAUGUAUAUAUUUUUUUAUUCUGAAUUUAAACAUCCAAAAAAUGUUAUUUCCGAACACAAAAAUGAUUUUUUAUGAAUCUCCAUUUUACAUGCCUUGAUUUAAAAUAUAUAUAUAAUUCUACGAA